AUACUUACUUGGCAGGGGAGAUACCAUGAUCACGAAGGUGGUUUUUCCAGGGUGAGGCUUAUCUUUUGCACUAUGGAUAUGCUGACCCCUGCGAUUUCCCCAAAUGUGGGGAACUCGACUGCAUAAUUUGUGGUAGUGGGGGACUGCGUCCGCGCUGUCCCCUG
ensembl:snRNA U1 U1 spliceosomal RNA